AGUAACCUGCCUUGGAGUGGGGAAUAACAGCUGGAAACAGCUGCUAACACCGCAUAAUGCAGUUGGGUCGCAUGGCUCUGACUGCCAAAGAUUUAUCGCUCUGAGAUGGACUCGCGUCUGAUUAGCUGGUUGGCGGGGUAACGGCCCACCAAGGCGACGAUCAGUAGCCGGACUGAGAGGUUGGCCGGCCACAUUGGAACUGAGACACGGCCCAGACUCCUACGGGAGGCAGCAG
rnacentral:rRNA from 1 species